UACGUAGGGGCCUAGCGUUGUCCGGAAUUAUUGGGCGUAGAGCGCGUGUAGGCGGCUUUGCAAGUCGGGUGUGAAAGCCCUCAGCUCAACUGAGGAAGUGCGCCCGAAACUGCAGAGCUUGAGUACCGGAGAGGAUGGCGGAAUUCCCGAAGUAGAGGUGAAAUUCGUAGAUAUCGGGAGGAACACCGGUGGCGAAGGCGGCCAUCUGGACGGAUACUGACGCUGAGACGCGAAAGCGUGGGGAGCAAACAGG
rnacentral:rRNA from 1 species